ACGGAAGGCAGCAGUGGGGGAUAUUGCACAAUGGGGGAAACCCUGAUGCAGCGACGCCGCGUGAGUGAAGAAGUAUUUCGGUAUGUAAAGCUCUAUCAGCAGGAAAGAUAAUGACGGUACCUGACUAAGAAGCACCGGCUAAAUACGUGCCAGCAGCCGCAGUAAUACGUAUGGUGCAAGCGUUAUCCGGAUUUACUGGGUGUAAAGGGAGCGCAGACGGCAUGGCAAGCCAGAUGUGAAAUGCGGGGGCUCAACUCCUGAACUGCAUUUGGAACUGUCAAGCUAGAGUACCGGAGAGGUAAGUGGAAUUCCUAGUGUAGCGGUGAAAUGCGUAGAUAUUAGGAGGAACACCAGUGGCGAAGGCGGCUUACUGGACGAUAACUGACGUUGAGGCUCGAAAGCGUGGGGAGCAAACAGGAUUAGAUACCCUGGUA
rnacentral:rRNA from 1 species